rnacentral:lncRNA from 1 species
AGGCCACGCCCCCUCAUCUCCCAGCUUCUGGGUCCGAGGCUCCCACCUGCGCUAAGCGCUUGGUACCAGGGAGGGAAUGGGAGGACGCUUGCAGGGUAGGGAGGCGGGGGCUGGAAAUUGGCAGGGUGAGAACUGGGAAACUAGUCUGAGAUGCAGCCCUCCUUGUCCCCCUUCUUCAUUCACCCCCUUGUUGAGGCCCUUGGCUUUUGCAUAAUACACCCUUUUAAAAAAUGUAUUUAAAGAGGCUGGUUCCUAUCCAUCCGACUGGAGGCAUCUCAGUGCAAGAGCAAAGCUAAGUCCUGCACACACACCUCCCCUCCUCGUCCUCCUCCUCCUCCCCCCAGGUUUUCCCGAAUGUAUCUACUCCGGUUACAACUGGACGCGGCCCCUCCCCCACCUGCCUCCCCCCUUCCUCCCCUCGAUCGUGGAGGGAGCAUUCUCUGUGCCUUCCCAAGUCCCCGUGGGGGACCUUCUAUGUUGGAGUGGGGUGAGGGGGGGAGGGUCAUAUAACGAAGGCCAGAAUGAACAAAUUAGAUAAUCAAAAGAAUUAUAGUAAUUGCUUUCACUUUCCCCAGGCCGCUCAGCGGAUUCUCUCCCCCGCCCCUCCCCUGGUUUUUCUGUCUGUCGGGAAUACUCGGUCUUUCCGACCCCCUCCCCUCCCCCAGGUUCCUCCUCUCCUCUCCCCUCGUUCGCGCGUUCCCUCUCUUCCUCCGUUUUCUGGUGUGCUGGAACGUUCAGUGGAAUAUGAUGAAUGAUCACCUGUCACAGCUUGUUUAUUAUAAUGCAGGCAAUCAAUUACACAUCCCCAACGCUGGCCGGCCCGCAGGAAAUUUAUAUGCUCAGCACAAACCAAUGUGAAAAUGGAAUCUCAUUUGCCAAAUGUCUUUCUCCCCGUACAGCACGAUGAUUACAGUCUGUGUUUGUUCCAACAGUCGUGUACAACUGACAGUGCUAUCAUUUACUGCCUGGCUCAGGUCACGUUACUCUAAGGCUUCAUUUAUUGUGUUACGAAGGGCAGCACAGGAAAAGGACAAGGGUGUCUGUCAGGGAUGGCACCGUGUUAAAAAGUGGGCGUGCAAGGGCCGUAUUCCUGGGCCAGCCGCUACAACCUCAGCCCCUGGGCCCUUACCUCCGUAUCCUCUCCCAGCAUCCAGCUACCCAGACUCCAAGGCCCCUGCCGGGAGCCAGCUCUAGGUACCAGGAGCUCCACAGGUCCCAGAAUCGAGGUGGAUCAGAGUUCCAAUUUUGGUUCUGCUACUGUCGAAUUGCGUGCAGCAGGGACUCAAUCUCUUCAUCUGGGAAAUGGGAGUUUUAACAGCCCUUGGCAGGAGUAUUGUGAUCUCUGGGAUGUCAGACGCGUUGAUGAAUGUUGGUUCCCGGGACUUCGGAAAGAGGUCCCGUUGAAAGAGUUGUGAAUUGGAAUUCACACUGUAUAUUAAAAUCUCCCCCAAUCUUCACCUCUGAGACAUGGCUGUCUCAAAACUGUUUUGUUUCCCUUCCUGGUGGAAUUUUGUACUUCUAUGUACUCUGUACCAGCAGGUAGAGUGGCUUUGAACAAAUAAAAUGGCCACCUUGCUCCACUGUUCUUUCUUUGUAAAAAACGGCAUAGCAAUCUUGGCCUUUCUAGCUGUGUGACCUCAGGCUGGUCAAUCCCUCCUCCUCUCUAAGCCUUGGAUUCUUCCCCUGAGAAGUAAAGAAAAUAACUCCUAAACUGCCUCCCUAGGCUUGCCGGCAGGAUCCAAGGUGUCCAGAGAUGAAGAAAAAAAAAAAAAAAA